rfam:Ovis aries breed Texel chromosome 11, whole genome shotgun sequence.
UCUCUGGUGGUUCAGUGGUUUAGACUCUGCACUCCCAAGGCAGAGGGCCUGGGUUCAAUCCCAAGUCAGGGGA